rnacentral:piRNA from 1 species
UACGCUUCUGGUGGUAGCUUACACGAAAAU